rfam:Danio rerio chromosome 20, GRCz11 reference primary assembly.
GUGGGUUAUGGAGAUGUUUAUCCAUUGACUGUGGCUGGAAGGAUUGUAGCCACAGUUUGCAUUCUCUGUGGGUUACUUGUGAUUUCUUUACCUAUCACCAUCAUCAUGAACAAU